rnacentral:rRNA from 1 species
CGUUAUAAUUAAGAAGGGUCCAGGCCUGCCCAGUGACAAAUGUUCAACGGCCGCGGUAUCCUAACCGUGCGAAGGUAGCGUAAUCACUUGUUCUUUAAAUGAGGACUAGUAUGAAUGGCACCACGAGGGUUGCACUGUCUCCUUUCCCUAAUCAAUGAAACUAAUCUCCCCGUGAAGAAGCGGGGGUACUAAUAUAAGACGAGAAGACCCUAUGGAGCUUUAAAUUUCUCUUCAAACGCCAGACACAAACAUCUGACACUUUACAUUAACCCGACGCCUUGAAGAUGAAUUUUAGGUUGGGGUGACCAUGGAGAACAAAAUAACCUCCACGCUGAAAAGGCCUCCAAACCUUGAGCCGAGGGCUACAACCCAACGCACUAAAAAAUUAACACCCAUUGACCCAAUAUUUUUGAUCAACGAACCAAGUUACCCUAGGGAUAACAGCGCAAUCUACUUCAAGAGUCCCUAUCGACAAGUGGGUUUACGACCUCGAUGUUGGAUCAGGGUAUCCCAGUGGUGCAGCCGCUACUAAAGGUUCGUUUGUUCAACGAUUAAAACCCUACGUGAUCUGAUUCCAGACCAGA